ensembl:lncRNA
AUUCUAGCUAGUUUACUAGUUAUAAUCGCAACAACAUUAAUUAUUGUAGCAACGAGCUAUAGUUAAAUGUACGUUACUUCAUCUGUUAUACAUUUCUCUUAGUUUCACUAUGUAUUGUAGUACAAACUAACAGCAUAAGUGGAAACUUCCUCUUCAGAUAUUUCCUCAUUGUGCUGUGAAGACGCUUGUCUUGAUGAGAGCCAGAACACAGAUCAUCACACUCUUCUGCUGGGAUUGGGCUCUUCUGGAAACUGGACUUUAGAGAAAUGAUGCUCAUCUUUGGACUGAUGCUGCUGCUGCUGCUGCUGCUGCAAACUGCUGCAUAUCUGGAUCGGUUCUGCUGGUUUAAUCAUUCUGAUCCCUGUUACACAGCUCUGGGACACAAACUCAAAGAUGGCUCAGUAACAUCUAGAGAUCUUCAAGUGAUUGUUGAAGCUCCUAUUGGCUCAGUGGAAGUGUCAAUCAUCUGCUUCUCCAGUGGGGUGAUGAGGGUGUUCUGCUCCUCUGAGGGGGAUCAUCUCCUCUACAGCUGGACUCUGAAUGGAGAUCCACUGAUGGAUGGAAACAGCAGCAUUGAUCUGGAUGAGGGUACUGAUGGAGACAUCAGCUGCAGUGUGAAGAACCACGUCAGUCACGCACAGAAGACCAUUAGACUCAAACCCUGUCCUGGUCUGGAGUUAAACUGCAGUUUUGAUCAGUCUGAUCCCUGUUACACAGCUCUGGGACACAAACUCAAUCUGCUGAUGGUCCUGGACACUAGUGAUUAUGACCUGAAGUUAAUAAAGAGAAUAAACAACAACACAGCAGAUGAUCCAGUUUGUAGAGUGAAGAAUGGCAGGAUGAAGAAAUGUGAUCUUUAUAAUAACAGACCUGAAGUGACAGUCAUUAAUGGGACUGUGAUAAUAAACUGUGUGAUCAGAGCAGAUUCAGGGAAUUACAGAUUAACACUCUCUGACUCAGGCGGCUCAGAAACAUCUAGAGAUCUUCAAGUGAUUGUUGAAGCUCCUAUUGGCUCAGUGGAAGUGUCAUUCAACUGCUCCUCCAGUGGGGUGAUGAGGGUGUCCUGCUCCUCUGAGGGGGAUCAGCUCCUCUACAGCUGGACUCUGAAUGGAGAUCCACUGAUGGAUGGAAACAGCAGCAUUGAUCUGGAUGAGGGAACUGAUGGAGACAUCAGCUGCAGCGUGAAGAACCACGUCAGUCACGCACACAACACCAUUAGACUCAAACCCUGUCCUGGGCCAAAGACUGCAGCUGUGACCUCUAGUGUGACCUCUAAUGUGACCUCUAAUGUGACCUCUGCAGUAACCAACAGCUCACAAGCAUCAGAAAAUGUUUUACUCUAUAUGAUUGCUUUUGGCUGCGUUGCUCUGAUCCUGAUUCUGCUGUUCAUCGUCAUAUGUUACGUUUACAAGAAAAAACAUCGGAAGUCAACACCAGCCGCUGCUGGAGAUACGGAGCUCAUAUACACUAAUAUACCUAAGAGAAAGGAUGAAAAGAAGACAACAGAAUCGCUGCCAGCUGCUGAAGAGGAAUACGCCUCAGUCCGACCGCAGACAAAGAGGAAGAAGAAGAAGAUGGAGGAAGAGGAGAUCCAGAACGGUGACGUUCACUCCGAACCACUCAGUCGCUCCAAAGCAGCAUCAGGAGGAGUGUGUUUACGCGCAGGCACAAAGACGCUAGUCUCACAAUAA